AAAAUGGCAAAUUGUAGACAAACAGCGCACAACAGACAAAAGCGGAUCAUAAAAGCUCACCAUGUGCUUUGUUAUGCGCAGGAGUAUGAAACAUUUCUGCUGGGUUUUGUUAUGUCCAACAUUUACUCUCUUAUGAGUGUGGCCCAGCUUGUGUUGAGUUUCCUGGUAGAAGAGGUACCAGUCACUACUAGAAAGAUGCGCUUGAAUGCUACGACUGCCGAAAUGUCACAGAUACGAACCUGCAACCGAACGGUCACGAGCUAUCCACGUUAAUCAUGUUCCAUGGUAGCAGUAACGCUGGUUUCUUCUGAAAGAACAAACACGUUGAAUUGCAAAGACAAUAAUAUAAAUAUUUUCAAACUGUAAUAAGGAAAACAUGUUAUUCGUUCUUGCUCAGUGAGAAUGAUAAAAUAUGUUCCGUUAUUUAUUUCAUUUAGUUAUUGAACUCUUUUAAUACAAAUUGAAAAUCUGUCUUAUUUUACACUUUUUAAGUUUUAACUGCAAAAACAUAUUAUUUUGAUAUUUCAGUAUACUGUGAUUCCCUUGAACGGUUAUGAGUAGUGUACUAUCAAUAAAUCAGACAUAUGUAUUGAAGGUAGUUUUAAGUAGCUGUAUACAAGUUUUACUUGGAAAUAAUGGCCUUUCCUACUGAGGUUAUUACCAAUGAAAUUUAUUAUAGAGUUCUGUCUCUUGUCCGUGUUUUAAGCAAUGUCACCAAAACAGUUCGACCGGUCCUUUGAUUAGUCGAUCUGUUGCGUCCGCGUCCCAAGAAUCAUUUUCUACCAAACGUGAUGCUCCGUCUUGUCAUGAAUGUCGCUCCACCCCCUUGUGCAACAAGGCUCUGUUCUACCAAACGAGAUGCUCCGUCUUGUCAUGAAUGUCGCUCCACUCCCUUGUGCAACAAGGCUCUAUGUAAACACUCAAGACGUACGUGCCCUUGCUUUUUAGAGUGAUGUCUCUUUAGUCGCAUUAUUGAUGUAUAGACCUCGAAAACAUGUUUUUUUAAUAAUGGAACUCAUUUAAGAAAUACGAGUAGAUAAAUACGUGUGUUUGUAAUAUAAACAAAAGCACACAAUAUUAUUAUUCAAUCUGAAUGAAUCCAGUAUACACUAGGAAUUUGUUUACGUCCUUGUUUAAUUGAAAAAAGUGUAUUUGAUUUUUUUUAUUCAAUAUAAGACAUACAAUUUAUACAUGUAUAUGCUCAUAAAACAAAGUGAUCAUGUAGCACGCUAAUGUUCAAACAUGUUAUACAAGAUAAAUGCUAAUAUAUACUUUUUUGUUCUUGUGAUUACAAAAAAGGAAAAAAAGGUAAAUAUGUAUUUUUUUGUUUUUUGGUUGUUUGUAAAAAAACAACAACAACAUAAUAGUUUAGAAUAAAGAUGAAUUGCAUAAAGUGGGUAAAAAGCAUACUGAAAUUGUUUAUGAAAGUUUAAUGUGUUUCCAGUUUUGUUCAAAUAAGUGAAGUGUAUCAUUGUUUAGGGCGAUUUCUUUUUAAUUUGAAUCUUCAGUUUUAAAUAAUUAAUACACCAGUUCAUGGUAGGUCUUUGUUUUCUGUAUUUCAUGCUGAAUAUAAAAUAUUUCAUUAAUAUAAUUAUGUAAUAUACAGCGUUAUUAACCUCUUGAAUUUUGAAGGUAUUUACCUCUAAACUGAUGUCUAAGAGAGAUAGUUUAACAUUUAGUUUGUGUUUCUCAAGAAAGGUUGUCAAUUGAUUCCAUAGAGAUUGAAUAUGUUUACAAUCCCUGAAAAGGUAUUCUAUUGUUUCAAUAUGUUCACUACAUAUAUCACAUAGAUUUGUGUUGGAUAGGUUGCACUUAAAAAGAUGUUUAUUUGUAGCUAUGAUUCUCUGGCUGUAUUUAUAUUGAAAGUGUCUCAGUUUGCGAUCAAAGUUUAUUUGAUGACGUGUAUUAUGCUGUCGUGAGACUGUCGGUGUCAUUUCAAUGUUUAUUAAACAUGUUCUAUAUAUUGAGGUAUAUUUAUUCUGAUCAAUGCUUAUUAUUCAAAACAUUCCAAGACACAUGAAUUUUCAGCAAGAAAUUGUGUUGACGAUCCGUCCGUCGAUUGUGCGAAGAUGGAUUCCAUAUUCAACGUGUGUGCCGAUAUUCAAAAAGCGAAAUUGGUUUGCCCGAGGUUUUUCAACCUCUGUAACGUGGGAAGGGAGUUAGUGAUUACGACAAUUGUGUUGCUUGAUUGUUUAGUUGAUGGACAUUGGAACUGGUUGUCUUCUUCGAGCGGAUGUAACGUCACGUGCGCAAAUGGAACUCAAGCACGUCAUCGAAUUUGCACCGAUCCUGCACCUCACAAUGGUGGACUGGACUGUGUGGGAACAGGAACUGAGAGUCAGACGUGCAUUAUGGAUUCGUGUCCUGUGGGCACCAUCGGGUUCAUGCUCAGUUACAUGCGACAUUGGCAUGCAGAGACGGGUCAGAUCGUGUGACAACCCAUUACCGACAAAAGGUAGGGACAAUUGUUUGGGAGAUUCCAGAGAGGACCGAAUAUGCCUCGCUACAGGAUGCACGGGUAUGUACCGGCGGAUAUGUAUUUGAUGAUUUUCUCAACUGAAACGUUCACCAGAAUUAUUAUAAUUGAGCAUAUUCUUUUAAACGAAAACACAUAAGUGCAUGUAUCAAUUAGCAAAGCAAAUAAUAACUAAAACCAAAUAUAGCAUCCUCUAAAAAAUAAUUGUCUUCCCGCUUGAUGACCGUUGCCAUGAUAACACCCACAUUUUGUACAGCAAUCGCCACACGAGUCGUCAUAUUUAUGAAAUGUAUGUGUAUAUUUUUCCGUUUGUAUUGUAUUCCUUAUGACUGAUUGUAUGGCUUGGUAGCGUAAAUGUUUUCGUCGUUUGUUUCUAUAUACAAGUUAAAAGACCUGUGUCAUAAUGAACACCUAACAACAUCUACUUUAAGCUGCUUAUUACCACAGCGUUGUGUAUGAAAAAGUCCAUAUAAAAACACACACACUACGACGUUCGGUCGACAGCAUGGGACUCGGUUCGGUAUUAAUAUAAAUCACGUCGGAUAUUAUGCACACGUUAAAGUACUUCUUUUUUUUGAUGGACAUUGGUUGGCGUGGGACAACUGGAGUUCCUGUUCUGCGUCGUGUGGUGGAGGGCGUUAAACUAGAAACAGAGCAUGCAAUAAUCCACUUCCGUCUCUUCUUGGCCGUUACUGUGAUGGCCUUCCACAAGACAUUGAGAUCUGUAACGGUGCUUCUUGCACAGGUUAUGAUAUUGUAUUUUUUGUUGACCAACCAGCCAUGCCAGGUUGUUGGUUAUCAAAAGACUAUACAUACAAAACAUGUCGUGCGGAAUUUGGUAGAUAUAAUUCACACCCAAAUUACCAAUUUAGUCUUCAAGAAGCAACGUUUACGGAAGCCAAUUCAGGAGUGUAUAUGUUUACAUGGACUUUUAUCAUAUCACAGACUCAUAGCUGUCAACGAGUGUCUUGUGACCUAAAUAAAAACUACCAUUUACUGUCGACAAUUGCGAUCGAUACAACUAACACUAGGGUAGAGUCUAGUGUACUGGUAUACAUGUAAAAAAAGAUUACGUGAAAUUGGACAGAUGUGUUUGUCACAAUUCAAAUCGUGGAAACCUCCAACUCGCCAGACCACUCGACAGCCGAUCCACAUUAACGGGCAUUUUUAUGCAUUAGUUAAGAUGCACAUUUUGAUUAUAACGUCAUUAUUAAUAUACAUGAUGGGUAAUAUGGAAUGAUUCACUAUGCUUAGAAUGUUUCUAAAUCAUUAAUUUUUUGUUGAUCAUGCCGAAACAUUUUUAACAGCUGCAUUAUUUCUUGAGAGUUUUAAUUAUUUUGCCGUUUUGUGUUUUUGCUUUUCAUGUACUAGUUCACUGACUUUGAAUGUUAUUCCGAAACACGAAACAUUAAAGUAUCGCAAAUGAAAUCAAAUGGUGCAUUUAUUAGUCCAAUACUUUAAAAUUAAAUUAUGAUUUCUUCUUAUCAAAAUAUACUUUGUCACUGUGGCAUUUAUCUUGUUAAACAUUAUGGUUUGAUUUGACACAAAUUGUGCCCACAUUUGUUCUUUCCAGCAGCUUUCUUAAUUGCAAUUAUUAUGAAUGCCAUUCUGGUUCGAUAGAACAGAGACCUAAGCGUAUAAGAAGUUUUAACGCAAACAAUGCAAGACAAAUGAUUCGCUGUAUUGUGUGCACAUAAUGAGACCCAGGCGUUUAAGAUGUUUUAAUGCAACCGAUGCAAGAGAAAUGAUUCGCUGUAUUGUGUUCACAUAAUGAGACCCAGGCGUAUAAGAAGUUUUAACGCAAACAACGCAAGAUAAAUAAUUUGCUGUACUGUGUUUACAUAAUCAUUUUCACCUUAACGACUGAACGAUGUAUUCACCGAAUUCGCAAUAAUUUUGUACUUAUGUCACUAUUG